rnacentral:lncRNA from 1 species
GAUGAGAUGAGUACUUGACUUGAAGACUUGGAGAGUCACAUAUAUCAAGCUAAAGAAAGAAAAACAAAUGCUAACAGAAAACAAAGAAUGCUUCCUUUAUUGCUUGGGUGAUGAAAGCCAACAUCAAAGUUGAUGAAGAAACAGAUUGGACUUGUUUAGGUAUUGAGGGCUUCAGACUGUGAUCUCUCCAUUGUUUAAAACUUACCAGGGAUGUUAUUGAAAGUCUUCUGAAUAUGAGACACAGGAUGGACAAAGCUCUUUAAAGGGAGAUGGCUUCAAAUACCAAGGUCAUGGUGAUAAGGAACCAAGAUGUUAUCACUGGGAGACAAGCUCCUGACUAUGACUUCCUAUGGAAGGAUGAUCGGAGCCUGUGUGCAAGUGUGCCAUGGCUGAGUGAACAGCCUGUCAAGGAAUGUGUUAUCAUCAGCGUAGAACCCAGACUUGACUGGAUGUAAACUUACACACAGAUUUAAACAUGAAAUUUUUCUAGCAAAUACGCUCUUGUGGUGUAGGAUACUUUAAUAAAGAUUAAUAAUAAAUCGGAUACUCCUGGCAUGGGCC